CGGGUAGUGCAAGUUGUAUUAUAAAGCACAAGCUCAUAUUUAUGCUUUGCAUUGCUAGAAAGAUGAGUACUCGUAUUAUUUGUCUUCUCAUGAUUGAAACUCCUACAGAAAUAUAUUUGAGUGUCGAUCGAUGUGGAAAGCGAUCAUGGAGGCUCCUUUCAUGCAACUUAAGAUAGACACUCUAUCAGAAAGAUUCAUUGAUAUUACUAGUAACAGUGACAGUGAUGAACAGAUGAAUUUCACGUCGCAAACAAACGUAUAACUCAUUUCAUUCAAAAGAUCUAUUCAUUCUAAUUUGCAAAUAUCAUUCACUUUCAAAUAAUUUUUUCAUACAAAAAGUUCGCUCUAAAUCAUAACUAACAUUUGCUUCUUUACCAUAUAAAAGGAC
rnacentral:lncRNA from 1 species